rnacentral:lncRNA from 1 species
AGGCCAAAUAUCACAUUUGCGGCACAACUUCAUUAUUAUUGUUAUUAAUUGAUGUUUCUUCAUGUACCUGUUAUAGCCACACUUGUUUGUGGCACCACUUGAUUAGUGGGAUGUGUUAGGGCUAAUUGUUGUCCAGUUAUUGGUAAUGCUGAUGCUCCUUGUUCUCUCUCUUCCUCUAUUUGUAGUAUAACUUCAUAGAUCUCUGUUGCCUGUAGUUCUGCAUUGUCAUGUGAUCUCCAUGUAAUUGAUGGUAUAACAUAUUUUUACCUUUUAAAGCAG